rnacentral:lncRNA from 1 species
ACACACAGACACAAUUCAUCUUCUUGCCAGGAUUGACAGGUGCUGUUUUGAUAAGCACGGGAACCAUCAGUUCAAGGUAUCAGUCUUUAGACCAAGUAGAGUUUAGAUGAGCAGAAUCUUUUAAUUUGUUGAGAAUUGUGAGAAUGACAGUUGCACACAGUUCCUUUUUAUUUUAUUUUUUUUUUUUAUUCUUUCCCUCUUCAUUUGUACCAUUUCUGUAUCUAAAACAAUAAAAGAGUUAGAUGUGUCUCUAGUACGGGGCUUUGGCUGUAGAAACUACACAGGGCAUUUGGUCCCACUUUGAGCAGUUGUCCUUUUAGACUCACAUGAAUUAAGGAAAUCCAAAAAUACAAAACAAGCUCCAGCUGAAUUUAAAUUCCAGGUUUCUGAGUCUAGGAACUUCAGGGACCUAAGAGGAUACCUAAAGAUUCAGAUGUAUUCUAUGGACAUCAGCUGUAAAAAAGUGCCUUCUUUUUAAUACUUAACAAUUUUUUAAUUCUUCAUUUAAUAUUUGGCUACAGUCGCCACUGAAAUAAUGUUACAUAUUUGGAGACUCCAUUGAGCUCUGGAAUAUCUGCUAGGUUAUUUUCUUUCUUGUUUAUUUCAUAAAACUAUUCCUUCGUCUGUUCAGAAGUUUCUUUUGGAACUGCAGGUGUGUGUUGAAAGCCAGAUGUAAAUUAAAUUACAACAUAUGCAGAAGGGAUCCCUUACAGAUGGAAAAUGCAUAUUUUCAGCUGACCUACUCCUCAGGUAACAAUGGGUGGGAGUAAAAUAUUUAUUGUAGACUAUGUAAUUACCAUUUUAUUAUUAUUUUUUAAAGCUUCAAAAUUGUAAUCAAACAGCAUUCAUGGGAUUGAGUUGCAGAAAAAGAGGAAUUGGAGGGAAAUUUUCAAUCAGAAGCAAGUUCAUUGAGAAAUAGGUUUAGGAACUUUCACCCAAGACGGCAGGUGUCAGUCAAGAAUAUAAUUCAGGGAAUCAAACUAUAAUCUGGAAAAUGGAGAGUCCACAUAAAAUUUUAUUCUACAAUCUGAGAAGAUUUAUUUUAUUUUAAUGACCAUCACUGGAUAGCUGUUUGGCCAGUUGUGCUGAGUAUACUGCAUAGAGUUUCCUGUGCUCCACAGAGGUCACUGGGAGGAUGUGACUGCUGGUUGACCCAUGAGCUGGAACCAGGCACUUGGAGGCUCCUCACCCCCACCUCUGUUCUUGGAAUGAAUAUCCUGCCCACAUUACUCACAGCCAAAGUCUUUUUCAAGAAUGUGGCCUGGAGAGAGCAACGCAUUGUUGAGAACCUCUGAAUAGUAGAUAUGGCUGAAGCUCAUGAAGGCCUCUAUAUAAACUUUUAAGAUUCUGGUGGGCCAUGCAGAGAUCUGUUCAUCUCGUGGCUGCCCAAGACAAGCCUCAGAAUACCUUGACUUCUGAGACUCUGGUUGGAAGCUUUACGUUAUUGCCUUCUGCUCAGGGAUCUACCUUCACUGAAAAUCGGUAAAUGCCGCCAGGAAAAAGCAGUAAAGAAUGUCAGGAUGUUGACCUUCUCCUAGGGAUCUGGGAGUAAUACAACUAAACUUGUUAUAGCUGGAAAUAAUAGCACCUCCCUCCUGAGUAUUUCGUUAUUUCUCUGAAUUAACACGUACCUUUUUUUUUUUUUUUUUAAACUGCGUUCUUUUGUUAGUCUAUGAACUUCUGGAAAACGGGUGACUCCCUUUCACUUUAAAUGGCUUGAUUGAGACAAAAUUCACUGUCUGUAAAAGUACCCAUUGUAAGUGUACAGUGAUUUUUACUAAAUUUGUAAACCUGAUAACCACACCACAAUCAAGUUUUAGCAUAGUUCUAUCACCCCCAAAAGUCCCCUCAUGACUAUUUACAGUUAAUACUUGCUGCCAUCCUGGCCCUGGGCAGCCAUUGAUGUGCCUACUAUCCCUACAGAUUUACCUUUUGUAGAUUUUUAACGUAAAGGGAAUCAUGCUAUGUGUGGCCUUCUGCGCCUGGCUUCUGUGCCUUAGUAUAUAAUGUUUUUUGAAGUUCAUUUAUGUAGUAACAGAUAGUUGUUUUUAUCUUUUUUUUCUGAGUAAUAUUCCAUUGCAUAAAUAUGCAACAUUUUGUUUAUCGACUUACCUGUUCAUUAGGAUUGCUUUUAGUUUUUGGCUAUUAUGAAUAAUGCUUCUGUUGACAUUCAUAUAUAUGUCUUUGUGUGAACAUGUUUUCCAUUCAUGUUGGGUAAAUUUCUAGCAAGGAAUUGCUGAGUUAUAUGAAAGGUGAUGGUUAGCUUAAAAAAAAAAUCACCAAAUUGUUUCACAAAGUAGUGGCACAGUUUUACAUUUCAUUACCAAUGUAUGAAGGUUUUCCACAUUUUCAGUGACAUUUUUAGUUUCACAUGUACAGCAAUGUGAUUCAGUUUUAUAUACAUAUAUGUAUAUUUAUAUACAUAUGUAUUCUUUUCAGAUUCUUUUCCCUUAGACGUUAUUACAAAAUAAUGAGUAUAGUUCCCUGUGAUGUACCCAAAUCCUGUUGGUUAUCUAUUUUAUAUGUCGCAGUGUGUAUAUGUUAAUCCAAAACUCCUAAUUUGUACCUCCCUCCCCCUUUCCCCUUUGUAACCAUAAGUAUGUUUUCUAUGUUUGUGGCUCUAUUUCUGUUUUGUAUAUAAGGUCAUUUGUGUGUGUGUCUCUCUCUCUUUUUUUAGAUUCUACAUAUAAGUGAUAUCAUGUGAUAUUUGUUUUUGUCUGGCUUACUUCACUUAGUAUGAUAAUCUCUGGGUCCAUCAUGUUGUCGCAAAUGGCAUUAUUUCAUUCUUUUUUUAUGGCUGAGUAAUUCCGUAAUGUAUAUAUGCCAUGUUUUCUUGAUCCAUUUAUCUGUUGGUGAACAUUUAGUUGCUCCAUGUCCUGGCUAUUAUCAAUGGUGCUGCCAUGAACACUGGGGUGCUUGUAUCUUUUCAAAUUAUGGUUUUCUGUGCCAGAAUGAUCCUGGCACAGAAGCAGAAAUAUAGGUCAACAGAACAGGAUAGAAAGCCCAGAAAUAAACCCAUGUACCUAUGGCCGAUUAAUCUACGAGAAAGAAGGCAAGAGUAUACAAUGGAGAAAAGACAGUCUUUUCACUAAAUGGUGCUGGGAAAAAUGGACAGCUACAUGUAAAAGAAUGAAAUUAGAACAUUUUCUAACACCAUACAUAAAAAUAAACUUGAAAUGGAUUGAAGACCUAAAUGUAAAACAGGAUACUAUAAAACUCCAUGAGGAAAACAUAGGCAGAACACUGACAUAAAUCACUGCAAUAUUUUUUUGGAUCUGUCUCAGAGAGUACUGGAAAUAAAAAUAAACAGAUGGAACCCUUUUCUUAAUGGUGUCCUUCAAAGUGCAGCUUUUUAAUAUUAAUAAAGCCCAAUAUAUUGGUUUAUUUUCAUUAUGGAUGGUGCUUUUUGCACUAUAUCUGAAAGUCUUUGCCUUAUUCAGUGUAAUAAACAUUUUGUCUUAUACUUUCUUCUAGUUUUAUAGGCUUAGUUCAUACAUUUAUGUUUAUGAUUCAUUUUUAGUUAAUUUUUAUAUGUUUGUGAGGUCAGGGUCUACAUUUAAUAUAUUUCUUUGUAUGUGCAUACCCAAUGAUCUCAGCACCAUUUUUUGAGAAAACCAGCCUUUCCACAUUAGAUUGUGUUGGCAUCUUUGUUAAAAUGUAAGAGUUUAUUUCUGGAACCUUUUUUUGCAUUGAUCUAUAUGUCUAUCCUUAUGUUAGUACCACAGUCUUGAUUACUAUGGCUGUAGAGUAUGUUGUGAAAUUAGCUAGGGUAAAUCAUCUAAAUUUGUUCAUUUUCAAAAUUGUUUUGGCUAUUCUAUAUCCUUUACUUUUCCAUAAAGAUUUUGGGAUCAACUUCUAAAUUUCUGUAAAAAAAAUCCUACUGGGAUUUUGAUGAGGAUUGAAUUGAAGUUAUACACUGAUUUGGCAAUAUUGAGUCUUCUAUAUGAACGUGAGAAAUCUUUCCAUUUAUUUAGAUUUUCUUUACUUUCUUUUAGCAAUUAUAGUUUUUUUGGGUGGGGAGGGAGGCUUUAUUGUAAUUUUCAGUGUGUAAGUUUUAUAGUUCUUUUGUUAAAGUAAUUCUUAAAUUUUUUUUAUGUCAUUGUGAAUAGAACUGUUUUCAUUUCAUCUUUAGACUGCUGAUUGCCUAUAGAAAUAAAAUUAAUUUUUAUGUGUUGAGUUUGAACCCUGUGACUU